UACGUAGGGUGCGAGCGUUAAUCGGAAUUACUGGGCGUAAAGCGUGCGCAGGCGGUUUUGUAAGCCAGAUGUGAAAUCCCCGGGCUUAACCUGGGAAUGGCAUUUGGGACUGCAAGGCUUGAGUGCGGCAGAGGAGACUGGAAUUCCUGGUGUAGCAGUGAAAUGCGUAGAUAUCAGGAGGAACACCAAUGGCGAAGGCAGAUCUCUGGGCCGUAACUGACGCUGAGGAGCGAAAGCAUGGGGAGCGAACAGG
rnacentral:rRNA from 1 species